rnacentral:rRNA from 1 species
UACGUAGGGUGCGAGCGUUGUCCGGAAUUAUUGGGCGUAAAGGGCUCGUAGGCGGUUUGUCGCGUCGGGAGUGAAAACCUCGGGCUUAACUCGGGGCUUGCUUUCGAUACGGGCAGACUAGAGGUAUGCAGGGGAGAACGGAAUUCCUGGUGUAGCGGUGAAAUGCGCAGAUAUCAGGAGGAACACCGGUGGCGAAGGCGGUUCUCUGGGCAUGAUCUGACGCUGAGGAGCGAAAGUGUGGGAAGCGAACAGG